AGUUAGGGUGUCGAACUGCCACCGUCCGUCCCCCCAUGGCUUUUGGUACUUGCAGCUUGUUGUAUUCAAGUAUCUAGCAAAAGGGACGCACGCCAAAGGUUUCUUUCUUCCUCUGGUAGCCACUUCACGUAAGCGCAUGUGUUUGUUGGCAGCUCAACGACUGUAGCCCAUCAGAAAGGUUUGAUCCAAAGCGAGGUCAUCAUCAUCUUCUUGACAUGAUGGUGCAACUCAUUUUGGAAGGAGGACCGCAGAAGGAGGGCUUGCUGCUGUGUCACUGUCUUCCCUUAAACUGAUAAAAGAAGCCAAAAUCCAACAGCGAGGAGUCGAGUAAGAUCUGAAGCUCAAGGCUGAGGAGUGAGAGAUGGAAUCCCCUCCCUCUGAGCCGCCACCCUCGCCGCCCGCUGUCGAUCUCUCCCUCACCCUCGCCGCGGCCUCGUCGUCGCCGCCGUCCUCCGGCCACGACGCGAGGGACGUCAGGCUCUUUCCCUGCCUCUUCUGCAACAGGAAGUUCCUCAAGUCUCAGGCCCUCGGCGGACACCAGAAUGCCCACAAGAAAGAGCGAGGUAGUAGCUGGAAUCCCCACCUCUAUCUCCCACCACCACCGCCACCACCUACCACACACUCCUUUCCCAUCGCUUCCCACUCAUGCAAGCCUGUCCUCCACCGUUCCGGCGACUGCGGAGCCCCUCGCCUGCUGGCUGACCGGCCCUUCCUCAUCCUCAACUGGCAGAGGGCUUCACACCCCCAUCAGGCACUCUCACCAGACCUCGGUUCCGUCAAUUCCAUUGCUGCUGCUGCUGCUCCACUUCCAUCCACUGGUGACGACAGGACCAUUAUCGAUCUCUCCUUGAGGCUCUAAGUCUCAGUAGAAUGUGUUUGCUGCAGAGUAGUUCGAUUUUUCUUCCUUCUUUCUUUCAAUCUCUUCCCGAUAGCUCUGCUGCCGCCCGCAGUCCGCGGGUUGCAUGGUGGAGCAGACCGUGCAUGACAUGGCUACAAGCAUUUGUAUUCGGCGGGUGGUGGGAUGUCGAUAUAACGUGGAGGUGUACGUUUUGUAGGGAACGUUACAUCAUGUUCCCUCCCACUCGAAGUUAUUUGAUCAUCAUCCUUUUUCCGAAUAGUUCAGCCCAUCAAUCGGCCUGCAAGAUUCGUGUGGAUGUAUACGAGCAGAUGUGUCUCUCAGCUUUCAUUCGACUAUUGAAGAAAGAAGAAAGUCCUUACGUAACUUCAUUUAGGAAUCUCAUGGUGAUCGCCGGAAUCUACUUCAGGUAGGAAGCUGAUAUCCGGAAAUAAAUCUGACCCCAAUGAGAGGCUGAUACGACUCCCAAACUAAGGAUCGACAUUCCCUCAAGAGAACUUCCGACAGUCCCAACAGUUGAACUCUCAUAACACGACACCAUACCUUCUCUCUCUCUCUCUCUCUAACUUUGGACUUAUUGAGGUGAGUUUUGAUGUGAGUGUCGGAGAAGGAUCUCGUCAAACACAUUUCGUCAUUUCACCCUCGCGGAUCGUUUUUGAGAGAAUCUACCUUCCUUCUGUGGGAAAAUGGAUCAAAUCGAGCCUUGUCUCGCACUUUGGACAGAAGACCUCAAGCAGACCCGAAAUCUUUUGCUGUAUCAGUUCAUGAAGUCGACUUAGGUCUCCGGGACAGCCCAUCUUCCCCUCUGUCAGUUCUUAGUGGCCCCAAAAGAAAGAAAGAGAUAGAUAGAUAGAGAGAGAGAGAGAGAGAGAGAGAGAGAGAGAGAGAGAUGGCUAUCAUGAUGCUUCUUUAGUUACCUACAAGACUUGGAGAAGGAACACAUGGGAACAGGAGUUUUGAUCUCCUGUACAAGCUAAGGUGUAUACAUUGGAGGAGUCGCAUCAGAGCAGUAAAAAGAGAGGAAGCUUCGGAUGUGGUGGCUGUGGAUGAUAUCUUAAUUACUGGGGAGAGAUUCUCAUGUCUCUUUCACACAGUUUCAAUUCCACCUUGUGUUUCUCUACUGCCAAACCUCUAUUUUCAGAUCAGUGAUGUCCAAAACUAUAGAACUUGACUUCAAUUCAUUCUUUUGCUGGGCAUGAAAUUUUUGAUCCUAUAACUGCGUAUAUAAUGCGCUAAUUGAGAUUGCCUCCUAUAGCCUCAAAGCAUUGCAAAGUCGUACAAAGUGCAAACUUCUAUUCACCAAAACUUAAUCCAAUCACCAUGACUUACUGAUGAUGAUCACUUACCAGUCUGCAACCAAAACCUUACGGAACUGUUCAUCUGUCUCAGCUUUUGCCCCUAACACAAAUGUCGGCAAGCUUUUCGGCAUUCUUUAGCCCCUAAUCAUUGUCCUUCUACCAAACAUUACCCUCUGUAUCAAGCUUUCUCUCCUGCAUCAUUGAUCUUUAAUCAUUGAGUCUCCAAAUCUCCCCCCUUCUGUUGCAUGUCAUGUGUUGUUUCUCAGUGGAUCAUCCUGUCGUGUCUUCGACAUGUCGAUCGUACUUUUUUGUCACAGAAGCAGAUGGGAGGAACCAGUGUGGUGGAUGCAGGGGAAAAAGCCUGAACACAAUGAAUCCACGAUAACUCACGACAGGAUCUAACAAUCUGUUCUUGUUGAACGAGGCCGGCAAUCACCUCAGGAGCAUCAUAACCUCGAGGCAUGCAAGGAGAUGGCUGUCUGCCUCAGUCACUAUGUGACUUCGGGUGAUCUCUCUCGGUGAAGUGCACCCACUCGAUGCCAUUGUCAGCUCAAACUCGUCUCUCAGAGUCUGCAGCACCUUCCUCACUCCAGCUUCACCUUCAGCAGCCAAAGCAAACGCCACAGGCCUUCCGAUCUGCAAUCGACCAGAAUUCACAGGUAACUUUCUUGUUUCAUGUGGAAUCUUGGAAUGUGGGAGAAGCGAUGAAUCUUUCUUUGCCAUGUUUGCUCACAAAGACACCAGAGGCUCCCAAAGCUAAAGCCUUGAACACAUCAGUUCCUCUGCGAGCGCCACCGUCGAGAAAGACAGGAACACGGCCCUGUGCGGCUUUGACAACCUAAAUUUGCACACGAGAUGGUUCUUAGAACACUGCAAAAGAAGGACAUCUUGAUGCAUUCUUUUCUCAGAACAUGUGAAGUUUUGUUUAUGUUCACGUGCCAACCACGAAGAUUCCAUGAUCAAUUCAAGCACACAGUGGAUUUCUUCUUGUGAUUAAGAAAAGCUCGGUUCGAGUUGCAUAUGUACCUCUUCCAGUGCACUGGUAGUAGCUGGAACGUAAUCAAGCUGACGAGCUCCAUGGUUGGAGACAGUGAUACCAGCUGCACCCGCUUGAAUGGCAAGUCUCGCUGCAUUUGGAAAGGAAACACAUUGUUCGAUGAAUCAAUUGGUCUAACAUUAAUAAACAGGAAGCUAUAGAAGAGACAUUGCUUACUGUCCUCUGCAGUAAGGACUCCUUUCACAAAAAUGGGCAUAGUAGUGAUUAACAUCUACAAACAUUAAUCAAGUAAUGUUAAUCAAGGAUCAAGGUGAUAAACCUGCAUACCUUCCAGCUUAAUGAUCGAUCAAUUUGACCCGCUACAUAUGAGGAAGGCCAGAGUCAUCGGUCUGCACAAAACAACAGAUGAAUUGUGCAACAAAUACUAACAAUGAAAAGUUCAAAUUGCAUAGAGAAAACUAUUAUUCAUCACCUUGUCCAUCUUUCCAAGGUCCAAACCCUCAAAGUUUUUUGAGUGUCAAAAAUGGUGGCAAAGUGAAUCUGCAGAACAUUCAAGAAUAGGACGGCACAACAUUAUGAAUUAUGAAGAAACAACUGAUCAGAGUAAAACCAGCAACUGGGUGCAGGGGGAAGGUCAAGGGCCAUCCUGCUCUAUCAUGCUCAAAACAAGUGCAAGAGAAUAAGCACUUAAAAGACGAUGCUUUGGAGUGUUC